UACGGCCAAGUCACGUUGAAACACCAGUCCUCGUACGAUCACCGAAGUAAAGCAAUAUCAAGCCUAGACAAUACCUAGAUGGGUGACAUCUUGGGAAUACCAGGUGCUGUAA